rnacentral:rRNA from 1 species
GGAAAGGGCGCAGGCCUACACAUGCAGUCCGAACGGUAGCACAGAGAAGCUUGCUCUCGGGUGACGAGUGGCGGACGGGUGAGUAAUGUCUGGGAAACUGCCUGAUGGAGGGGGAUAACUACUGGAAACGGUAGCUAAUACCGCAUAACGUCGCAAGACCAAAGAGGGGGACCUUCGGGCCUCUUGCCAUCAGAUGUGCCCAGAUGGGAUUAGCUAGUAGGUGGGGUAACGGCUCACCUAGGCGACGAUCCCUAGCUGGUCUGAGAGGAUGACCAGCCACACUGGAACUGAGACACGGUCCAGACUCCUACGGGAGGCAGCAGUGGGGAAUAUUGCACAAUGGGCGCAAGCCUGAUGCAGCCAUGCCGCGUGUAUGAAGAAGGCCUUCGGGUUGUAAAGUACUUUCAGCGGGGAGGAAGGCGUUGAGGUUAAUAACCUUGUCGAUUGACGUUACCCGCAGAAGAAGCACCGGCUAACUCCGUGCCAGCAGCCGCGGUAAUACGGAGGGUGCAAGCGUUAAUCGGAAUUACUGGGCGUAAAAACGCACGCACGCGGUCUGUCAAGUCCGAUAUGAUAUCUCCGGGGCUCUAACCGUGGGAACGGCUUCCAAAAGGGGAGGGAUAAACUCGUGUACAGGGGGAGACAUUUCCCGGGGGGGACAACCAACGCGUUAAAACCUGUAAGGAGUCGGAGUACCAAG